UACCAGCACCCCGAGUGGUCGGGACGUUUAUUGGGCCUAAAGCAUCCGUAGCCGGUUCUACAAGUCUUCCGUUAAAUCCAGCUGCUCAACAGAUGGGCCGCGGAGGAUACUACAGAGCUAGGAGGCAGGAGAGGCAAGCGGUACUCAGUGGGUAGGGGUAAAAUCCGUUGAUCCAUUGAAGACCACCAGUGGCGAAGGCGGCUUGCCAGAAUGCGCUCGACGGUGAGGGAUGAAAGCUGGGGGAGCAAACCGG
rnacentral:rRNA from 1 species